rnacentral:rRNA from 1 species
CCUACGGGAGGCAGCAGUAGGGAAUCUUCCGCAACUGGAGGAAAGUCUGACGGAGCAACCCCGCGCGAGUGAUGAAGGCUUUCGGUUCGUAAAGCUCUGUUGUUAGGGAAGAACAAGUGCUGGAUUAUACUGCUUGUACCUUGACGGUACCUUACCCGAAAGCCACGGCUAACUACAUGCCAGCAGCCGCGGUAAU